rnacentral:rRNA from 1 species
CACGUAGGGGGCAAGCGUUGUCCGGAUUUAUUGGGCGUAAAGAGCGUGUAGGCGGCCAGGUAGGUCCGUUGUGAAAACUCGAGGCUCAACCUCGAGACGUCGAUGGAAACCAUCUGGCUAGAGUCCGGAAGAGGAGAGUGGAAUUCCUGAUGUAGCGGUGAAAUGCGCAGAUAUCAGGAAGAACACCCGUGGCGAAGGCGGCUCUCUGGGACGGUACUGACGCUGAGACGCGAAAGCGUGGGGAGCGAACAGG